AGCGGCGCUGGGUCGCCGCGGGCGGGCGGAGCCGCUCCGGCGCUGCCGCUCCUGCUCCGGCUGUGCCCGGGGCGGGACCGGGGCUCGGAGCCGCUCCCGCCGCUCCACCGACACCCGCCCGGUGGGACUGGAUCCUCUCCCUCCUCUCCACCGCUUUCUCUGGGGCUCGCAGUCUCCAAAGGAAAAACCCGCGGGUUUAAAAAGCCCGUGAAGACUUUGACUUUUAAUUUCUAGAACACAGGAAAUUCUUAGUGGGAAAGAGCCACGAGGGUCAUCAAAUCAGACAGUGAUAAGAGACUGGUCCAUGCAGGGAUUGAAUUCAGAAUUUUGUCUUUCUUGGCUCCCUGCUCCAAGCACCUGAGCCGAUCUCAGGGUGUGAGGAAGGUCCUGCCUGGGGUGGGAAUGGCUGCUGCCAGCAAGGGAAUUCCUACGCAAAUGCAGCUCCUGUUUUUCUGCUAACGCUGUUUUACACACCAGCCCUUUUCAGGAUUUACUCAGCAGCUGUAAAGGUGCUCAUUCCGUGUCUCUUUCCAGAAGAACUGAGCAGGACAAGUCCUGAGGGGUCACUUGGUCCGUGGCCAAAGUUCUGGAGAGUGUCAGGGCUGGUCCAGCCUGCAGAGGGGCGUGUCCUGCAGGUGAGUGUUCACAGCCCAAAAUCACAGCAGUGCUGAGGCUGGGGCUGCUUUUCUGGCCCAGAGCUGCACGGAGCCCUCAGUGACUCCCACUCCGUGCCAGGAACGUUCCUUGGUGUUUCCCAGGUGUCCCAGCUGGCUGGGAAUGGGGGCAGGAGGAGGUGGGAGCCCCAGGAAGGGAACCAGCCCCUCUUGUCCUCGCUAUUUGCAGGGGAGGAGCUGUGCUGCAGUGUCCUGCCCGUGGCACAGCGUGCCGAGCACACAUCCCGGGGAUGGGCCCUGGGAUUCCUGGGCACUGCUGGGAUGGACGUGGAUAAAGGGCUGCCCACAGCUCCUGGGCCAGGGGCUGCCCUGAACAGGCACCUGGAGAUGCUUCAGCCCAGACAGACCCCACUGACCCCCAAAAUGACCCCAAGAACAGCUGGCAGCACCUGGGAAUGUGGGCAGGGUGUGUUUGCAGAGGGGCUCAGACAGGAAUUCCUGGUGCUGACCUCCUGGAGCUCCUGCACACCCCCAGGGAGCCAGCUGGAACCACAGAACUGAUGGAAAGCUUUCACAGGAGGUGUGCUCCAAGGGCAGAAGAAAUCCCAAUGUUGUCAGAGCUCCUGGAAAGUAGAUGGAACAAAAUAAGCUGCUGUCCUGCCAUUCACCUAUGUUUGUGAUCAUCCUCCUCCCUUCUAUGGAAAGAUCUGCAGAGUUAUCUCAGACCACAGCAGUGUCAAAUCUGAUCUAUGUUUUCACUGCAGUCCCAUCAUCAAAGUAAGUGCAAUACAGUAAGUUCUUGUAAGUUCUACCCCCAUUACAGUUUUCCUGAAAGCAACUAAGCCAACAAAACCUGAAAAAGUAUCUACUU